ACCAUCAGGAGGGGUGUCACGCCCAAGGGGUCUCAUGGGCUAUGGGAAGAGAUAAACCAGCCCCUAGUGGGCUGGAAUAAGUUCGCACUAAGGCCCAUAAGGUUUGAGAAGGAAAAAACACAAGGUGGAAAGAGUUUCCAAGUGGGAAGGUGGAAUCCUACUCCAAGUAGGAUUGGAGUAGGACUCCUCCACCUCCAAUUUCGGCCAAAACUUUAGGUUUUGAUGCUGCCUCCUCCCCUCCCUCCCUCCUAUAUAUAGUGGGGUUUUAGGGCUGAUUUGAGACAACUUUUGCCACGGCAGCCCGACCACAUACCUCCACGGUUUUUCCUCUAGAUUGCGUUUUUGCGGAGCUCGGGCGGAGCCCUGCUGAGAUUAGAUCACCACCAACCUCCGGAGCGCCGUCACGCUGCCGGAGAACUCCUCUACCUCUCCAUCUCUCUUGCUGGAUCAAGAAGGCCGAGAUCAUCGUCGAGUUGUACGUGUGCUGAACGCGGAGGUGUCGUCCGUUCAGCACUAGAUCGGAGCGGGUCGUGGGACGGAUCGCGGGACGGUUCGUGGGACGGUUCGCGGAGUGGAUCGAGGGACGUGAGGACGUUCCACUACAUCAACCGCGUUCACUNNNNNNNNNNUUUGUACGUGUGCUGAACGCGGAGGUGUCGUCCGUUCGGCACUAGAUCGGAGCGGAUCGUGGGACGGAUCGCGGGACGGUUCGUGGGACGGUUCGCGGGGUGGAUCGAGGGACGUGAGGACGUUCCACUACAUCAACCGCGUUCACUAACGCUUCUGCUGUGCGAUCUACAAGGGUACGUAGAUCGGACAUCCCCUCUCGUAGAUGGACAUCACCAUGAUAGGUCUUCGUGCGCGUAGGAAAUUUUUUGUUUCCCAUGCGACGUUCCCCAAGAGUUUUCACGUCUAUAAGGUUCCGUGUGCAGCCACAAGCCAAUAUGGGCUCUGGCUUAAUUGAGUAGAUGGUGUGACCUCGUCCGGGAUAGGCUAGCAGAUGUAGAUGAUGUAGGUGUACCGGCCUAUCCGUGGGUAAGAGGGAAUGCUCUCGAAAGACUAUGUCUCGAUCUUCCGAUCAAGGAGGUGGUCGAGUCUUGUGGGGAAAAGUGAAAAUGCCGGGGGAUCUCCUCAUAUUUAAUUAAUCAACUGGGUAAUUGAGACAACUUUGGGUAUGGAUUGAGUUGGGGUUUCCAUCUCAGUGUGAUGAUUUUAUUUUUGUAGAAGUAGAAUGUUUACUUGGUUAAGGAAAAUCGGCUUUACGCAAAACUCAACUUAGAGCUUUCCACCAGCCAAAUUGCAUGUACAAAUAGGAUCCUUACUCUCUUAUGAUGUGACUUGCUAGUACAUUCCAUGUACUAACCUAUACGGCUGCAACCUAUCAUGUUGCAGAUUUGUCUGACGAGGAUUAAGGUGCGAUAGGUCGUUGUUCUACACUCAGCUUGCUCGUGGAGUUGAUGGACUCGUUGCACUUAAUUGCUUCCGCAUUAUUUGUUUUAUCUGGCCUUAGGGCACAUUAUUGUAAUAAAUACUCUUUGAGGAUCUCGAUGUAAUAAAGUGUGUGAUUGGACUCUGUUAUAUAUCCUCGAGUACUGUGUGUGUCAA
rnacentral:lncRNA from 1 species